GGGGACACACAUUGAAUUGAAAGUUCACACGUUCAAUUUAAGAGGCAAACAUUUUCCAAGGAAAGCUUUGUGCAAAGGGAAGGAAAAAGAGAAGGAGAACAAAGGGAAAACUUUAUUGAAGAGAAGAAAAUCAAGCUUGAAGAAGGGAAUCAAAGUUUUCUUUAGGUCUUGAAAUAUUCAAUCUUUCAAGAAGAACAAGGCGAGAGGCAAAAGAGGACACGACCACAAGAAACAUGGCAAAACCUGAAGGUAUAGGACCCAGCAUGACAGAAAUCAAAGACGACGUCAACGUUCAUUCAAGAUAUGAUAGGCUUUUGGUGAUUUGUGAUUCCCAGCAAUGAUGGGUGAUCCAGAAAGACUUGCGGAGCGAGCUCCGAGAUAGAGGGGGCUUUAGUAGUACCCAAGCUACAGGGUAAGUUUUUGAGUUGGGAGUUGUAUUUUUGGGUAUGCCCCUAGGACAUUGUGUUUCUUUUGGGAGAUGUAUAUGUAUAUUUUGGGAAUUACUGAAACUCUGGUAUUGUAAAUAAGGUUAAAGUAUUUUUAUGUUUUCCACUGCAUAGAUGGUGUGUUUUAUAAGCAGGUACCCUCAGUCAUAUUGUUGCAGAAUAUUUACAGAUAUAUAAAAAGAAAGAGGAAAAAAAAAUGGUAAUAA